AAUCAACGCUGGCGGCGUGCCUAACACAUGCAAGUCGAACGCGAAAGGGGCUUCGGCCCUGAGUAGAGUGGCGAACGGGUGAGUAACGCGUGGGUGACCUACCCUAGAGUGGGGGAUAACGUUCCGAAAGGGACGCUAAUACCGCAUGAUGUUCCGGGUUUGAAGACCUGGAAACCAAAGCCGGGGACCGCAAGGCCUGGCGCUCAAGGAGGGGCCCGCGGCUGAUUAGCUAGUUGGCGGGGUAAUGGCCCACCAAGGCGACGAUCAGUAGCCGGCCUGGGAGGGCGGACGGCCACACUGGGACUGAGACACGGCCCAGACUCCUACGGGAGGCAGCAGUGGGGAAUUGUUCGCAAUGGGCGCAAGCCUGAUCCAGCCAUGCCGCGUGUGUGAAGAAGGCCUUUUGGUUGUAAAGCACUUUAAGCGAGGAGGAGGCUACUUGGAUUAAUACUCUGAGAUAGUGGACGUUACUCGCAGAAUAAGCACCGGCUAACUCUGUGCCAGCCGCCGCAGUAAUAC
rnacentral:rRNA from 1 species